AUUAUGAAAGCAAAAAAUUAUGGCGGUAUUUUAAGCUUUUCAGAGGAAUUUGCUCUUUAAUGGAUAAAACACCUAAAUCUUACUUAAAUUUGUUAAUUCAAUUUGUAUACCACUAUAAAAACAAUUUAUAACUUUAAUUGUUUAAAUUUAUUAAAUUAAAAUAUAUUAAGUCAAGGUGCAGUAAAAAUUUAAGAAUGAAGUGAAUUACAUUACUCUUUAGAGAAAUAAAUUUAAAAUAAUAUUUAGGAUUUGAAAGUAAAAUUAAAAUAGAAUGUUAAUUUGAAUUAAGCUCUAAAAUAUGUACACAUCGCC
rnacentral:rRNA from 1 species